CACACUACUGUCUCUAGAGGAGGGGAGUGGGGUAUCUGUGGGGACCCCGGGCUUCUGUUGGAUGGGGGGUGACCCCACAGCCCCACAUGUCACUCAGGCGCUGCCCGGGAUUGGCAUCUCUUUGUGACAGCCUGGCAUCUCUGGGUGGCCUGGAAAUGGGAGUGCAGCACAGGGCAGGGGAGCAGAGCCCGGGAUGGGCAUCCUCCUGCAGCCACAGGCAGUGGGGUCCCUGCAGGAGACCCCCUGAGCAUCCUCCUGGAGCCACAGGCAGUGGGGUCCCUGCAGGAGACCCUCUGAGCAUCCUCCUGGAGCCACAGAAGGGUCAUCCCAAAUGAUCUUCUGGACAUCCUCCUGAGGCCACAGAGGGGUCCCUUUGGACUGACUCUCUGAGCAUCCUCCUGGAGCUGCAGAAUCCCCCCAGGUUGCCCCCGUGGGGGCACGUGGAGGGGCAGUGCCCGGGUGUGGGGCAGAGCC